rnacentral:rRNA from 1 species
UUUAGCAAAUCUCUUAAAGCCGUUCUCAGUUCGGAUUGUAGGCUGCAACUCGCCUACAUGAAGUCGGAAUCGCUAGUAAUCGCGGAUCAGCAUGCCGCGGUGAAUACGUUCCCGGGCCUUGUACACACCGCCCGUCACACCAUGAGAGUUUGUAACACCCAAAGCCGGUGGGGUAACCUUUUGGAGCCAGCCGUCUAAGGUGGGACAGAUGAUUAGGGUGAAGUCGUAACAAGGUAAC